GAUCAUGGCUCAGGAUGAAACGCUAGCGGCAGGCUUAACACAUGCAAGUCGAGGGGUAUUGGUUUUCGGACCAAGAGACCGGCGCACGGGUGCGUAACGCGUAUGCAAUCUACCUUUUGCAGAGGGAUAGCCCAGAGAAAUUUGGAUUAAUACCUCAUAGUAUAGCAGUUUCGCAUGAAACCACUAUUAAAGUUCCAACGGUAUAAGAUGAGCAUGCGUCCCAUUAGUUAGUUGGUAAGGUAACGGCUUACCAAGACAAUGAUGGGUAGGGGUCCUGAGAGGGAGAUCCCCCACACUGGUACUGAGACACGGACCAGACUCCUACGGGAGGCAGCAGUGAGGAAUAUUGGUCAAUGGGCGCAAGCCUGAACCAGCCAUGCCGCGUGCAGGAAGACGGUCCUAUGGAUUGUAAACUGCUUUUAUACAGGAAGAAACCCUCCCACGUGUGGGAGCUUGACGGUACUGUAGGAAUAAGGAUCGGCUAACUCCGUG
rnacentral:rRNA from 1 species